AAACCAACAGGGAUUGCCCCAGUAGCGGCGAGUGAAGCGGCAAGAAGCUCAGAUUUGAAAUCGUGUUUCGGCACGAGUUGUAGAGUGUAGGCGGGAGUCUCUGUGGAGCGCGGUGUCCAAGUCCCUUGGAACAGGGUGCCUGAGAGGGUGAGAGCCCCGUAGGGUGCUGCGCGAAGCUUUUGAGGCCCUGCUGACGAGUCGAGUUGUUUGGGAAUGCAGCUCCAAGCGGGUGGUAAAUUCCAUCUAAGGCUAAAUAUUGGCGAGAGACCGAUAGCGAACAAGUACUGUGAAGGAAAGAUGAAAAGCACUUUGAAAAGAGAGUGAAACAGCACGUGAAAUUGUUGAAAGGGAAGGGUAUUGGGCUCGACAUGGGGGGUGCGCACCGCUGUCUCUUGUAGGCGGCGCUCUGGGCGCCCUCUGGGCCAGCAUCGGUUCCUGCUGCGGGAGAAGGGGCUCCGGAAAGUGGCUCUUCGGAGUGUUAUAGCCGGGGCCAGAUGCCGCGUGUGGGGACCGAGGACUGCGGCUUCUGUCUCGGAUGCUGGCAUAACGGCGCAAUACCGC
rnacentral:rRNA from 1 species